UAAAUACCAUUUUGCAUAAGCUAAUUUAGGAACAUCUGAAUCCCCAUUUCCCCCCACCAGUGAGUCAGUGCAAUUUUUAUAUUCUCAAAACUCCCCUCCCUCCUUUCCUUUCUUACUAUAAAGCUAUGAGGGUUAGGGUUCUCACUUUUCAGAGAGUGUUGUAGAGGGUGUUUUGAGGGGAAUGUUGGCUGGCUCGAGGCUUUUUUCGUUCUGAUGAAAAAACAGAAGAACUCUUAAGGCUUCGGACCAGGCUUCAUUCCCCUCAAGCUUGUGUACAUAUAUGGGAUGUACGUAUAUAUAUAUAAAUAUAUAUAUAUUCAUUGCUUCUUCAUUCCCCUCAAGCUUUUCUUCUGAAUGUUUGGUUGAGAGGAAUGUUGUUUGGCUCGAGGUCAUGGAGAGGAAUUCAUUUUUCCGGCAUUGUUUUUGCCGGAAAAUGUUGAUACUUUCAAACCCUAAAUGAUUCUCGGACCAGGCUUCAUUCCCCCCAACCAUAAUGAUUUGAUAUCUUCCUCCUUGUUCCUUGCUCCAGCAGCUGGAUUGAUUGAACAAGAACACUUCUUCUUCCUCUUUCAAUGGAAUUAAAAUAACAUUAAUCGAUCUUUCUCUCUGAAGCCUUUGAUUUGAUGUUCAUGUAUCACAGCCUCUCUUUCUCACGCGCAUGCACACACAACCACGCAAACAGAGAGAAACUUUUACCCACCUCUCUAUUCUUCAAUUAAAACAAUUUGUGUGAAAACCGAAUGUUCAUUUCACGUGGACAAGAUGGUAUGUACUGUCAGAUAUAUAUAUAUAUAUAUAUAUAUAAGAUGUGAAAUACUUGCCAGCACUAGCUACCUCUACCUCUUUCUAGGGUUUCGAAACAACAUAUCCCCAUCUUUUUGUUCUUUUUCGAGGAAAAAAAAAACGUUUAUUAAUGGAUCAGCGUUGUAUAUAUAUGUACAAACAGGUAAACUAACAGAUAUUCCGCAUAGAUGGUUAUAUCCUGAAUGGGUAAGUUUCAUUGUCAAUUAAUUUGAGCUGUUUAUGAUUCCAUUGGUUGAUUAGCACCCACAGAGGAUGUCAAUUCAUUUUAUCUUAUGUUAGAAUAGUAGUAUUUGGAUAUUUUUUGUGUAUAUUUUUGUUAUAUACGUUCAUAUAAAUGUGCUUGUGUUAGUAUAGUAUUAUAUAUUUGCAUAUUUUUGUGCAUAUAUUUGUUUAUAUUUGCAUUGUUAGCUUUAAUUCAAAGCCAAUGUAAAUUAACAUUUUUUCAUGUUCGCAGUGAGAUCUGACUCAUUAAUUAAGUUACCAAAUUAAGCUGCUAAAACAUCUGAAUCUGAAAGAGUGAAGGAAAGAAGCAUUGAAUCAUAUAUUCCAACCAAUCAUCAAAGAGAUAAAGCUUCAGCUACUUGAGAUAAAGAUCAUGCAGAUGAAGAAUAAGCUAGUACAGUAAAAGACAACUGAUCUCCAAUCCAAAGAAUUGUCUUUCAACUAUAUUGUUAAAACUCAUGUAUAGAAUUAUAGAUUUAUAGGAACAACAUCACUUGUAAAUUGCAAUCGUUGAGUAUUAUAUAAAGGAGAAGGGCACAUUUAUAACUA